rnacentral:snRNA from 2 species
AUACCUUUCUCGGCUUUUUGGCUAGGAUCAAGUGUAGUAUUUGUUCUUAUCAGUUUAAUAUCUGAUAUGUGGGCUACAUGCCCACAACGAUAUUAAAUUUAUUUUUUACUAGGUAAAGAUGCCCGUGCGUUGCAACGGGAAAACACAAU